rnacentral:lncRNA from 1 species
AAAAGUAGCUAAAAAGGGAGAAAGGAACAUUAUAAAUAUAGGAAAAAUAGGACAGAAUAUGGGAAUAAGCUGGUCAUUUACUGCCGACUGGUUAGUUUCAUUUAUUGUAAUAUUUAUGAAAAAAACGAAAAGAGAAAAUUCCUAGUACAAUUUCAGAUUUUUUGCUUCACAUUUAAGUAAUUGACAGACUUUUUUUACUGCUGAUUUCUAAACCUGAAAACCAAAAGCCAUAAAAUAAACCAAGAAAUACCAGUACAAUAGCAUAGUUCUUAAAUUAAAAGAGAAACGUAAAAGACAAUGUUGAAGCAAAGAUUCAUACCUGAUGAAGCAAGGGAAUCCAAAAAUCCCAAAAACAGAAACGGCAGAGAAAAUCACAGUAUAGUGUGUCUUUGAAUUCUUUCGGGCGUCGGCUACAAAAAAGCUAAUAAUAUAAGAAGUAAAAUUUGAAAUGAGACAAACAUAAUAAAGGAGAGAAUAAAGGGGGAAGAAAUGUUAGAAAAAAAGGAAAAUGAGGAGAGAAUAAGCUAUGAAAACAUGCCCAUUAUCACAAACCACAGGAACUAAACAGAAAAACUCGAACAAAAGCAGACUGAAAAACAAGAAAAGAAGCAUUGAUCUGAGAAUUAAAAUAGAGAUAAAAAGGUAGAAAUAUACAAGAAAAGGAAAAUACACAGUUAACGUAAAUAUUCAUACCUGAAAUGACUCUCCCAUGAAGCAGGGAAUUUCAACAUCACAACAAACAGAACCGGCAGAGAAAAACUUAUGGGUUUCUCCCUCUCACGAAAACUAUCUUCCUACUGUUGAUUGUUUGUGUGUGUGUUUUGCCCGUGGAUACACAAAGCUAUAAAAGAAUGACAGGAAAAAAUUGAAAUGAGACCAAAAGAAAAUCCACGAAGUACGAGAAGGGAGGAAGAGAGAAUAAUGAAAACAAAAAAGAAAGAAGGAAUGUAUGGAAUGAAGCAUGAUUUGAGUAUUUAAAAUUUGGGAAGGAAGUGGUAUGUGAAAAGGCUAAAGAAAACGGGCAGCGGGGCAGUCAAUGCCCAAAAAAUAAAGAUUCUUGAAAUCUUCCGCAACGGUAACAUAAUACUAUUUAAUACACUCAUUUAAUGAAGAAGCAGCUGAGCAGUUCACAUAUCUAAUUAAUCCAUUCAAAAAUUCAAGAGAAACUAAAUAAGAACAAAAACAAAAUACAAAAGUAAAGGAGACUGACACAGUUCAAGGAAGCAUAGAAAUCCAACCCAAGUUACUUCUUCAUUGGGCUUAAUCAGUUUUGAAUUAUUAAUUUGUUAUUUUUUUAAUUAAUUGAAGUUGUCAUUUUAUUAUUUAAUCUUUACAUCUGCCGUGGAUGAUUGACUGCAAAGAGAUCAUCCAUCCUAUGGCAAAUUUUAAGUCACAGCUUAGAUACUAAUGAAGAGUUCUCACUGAAAACUUGUGACAAGCACAGUGUACAAUUUGAUACCUGGCAACUCAAUAUCCCUAUGCUACUCCAAAAUAGUUAAAACUAUUUUAAACCAACCAAAAGCAUAAAUUACAAACAAAUCACUUUCUGAAUCCUUAAAAGACAGAAAACACAUCCAAUUGAAUACAUAGAUGAUGUUGGACUAAUAUGGAAUUUCUGUACCAGAAUUUACUCCCUAAAACGAAAAUAUUUACCACAUAUCCCAAAGUUCUCUUAAGAAUAAACUAUCACCUAGAAUUCCAGGGAGCCCCAAAUUCAUUAAAAUACAUGUAUGUAUCUAAAUAGGAAAAGAAUGUAAGAUGAAUGAUUUAAUCAAUAGUUAAGGU